CAGCAGCCGCGGUAAUACCGGCGGCCCGAGUGGCGGUCACUCUUAUUGGGCUUAAAGCGUCCGUAGCCGGGUUGGGAAAUCCUCCGGGAAAUCUGGCCGCUUAACGGUCAGAAUGCCGGAGGAUACUCCCAGCCUAGGGAGCGGGAGAGGCCGAGGGUAUUCCCGGAGUAGGGGUGAAAUCCUAUAAUCCCGGGAGGACCACCUGUGGCGAAGGCGCUCGGCUGGAACGCGUCCGACGGUGAGGGACGAAGGCCAGGGGAGCAAACCGGAUUAGAUACCCGGGUAGUCCUGGCUGUAAACGAUGCGGACUUUGUGUCGGACAAGCUAUGAGCUUGUCCGGUGCCGGAGGGAAACCGUUAAGUCCGCCGCCUGGGGAGUACGGCCGCAAGGCUGAAACUUAAAGGGAUUGGCGGG
rnacentral:rRNA from 1 species